AGUGAACGCUGGCGGUAGGCCUAACACAUGCAAGUCGAACGGCAGCACAGUAAGAGCUUGCUCUUACGGGUGGCGAGUGGCGGACGGGUGAGGAAUACAUCGGAAUCUACUUUUUCGUGGGGGAUAACGUAGGGAAACUUACGCUAAUACCGCAUACGACCUACGGGUGAAAGCAGGGGAUCUUCGGACCUUGCGCGAUUGAAUGAGCCGAUGUCGGAUUAGCUAGUUGGCGGGGUAAAGGCCCACCAAGGCGACGAUCCGUAGCCGGUGUGAGAGGAUGAUCGGCCACACUGGAACUGAGACACGGUCCAGACUCCUACGGGAGGCAGCAGUGGGGAAUAUUGGACAAUGGGCGCAAGCAUGAUCCAGCCAUACCGCGUGGGUGAAGAAGGCCUUCGGGUUGUAAAGCCCUUUUGUUGGGAAAGAAAAGCAGCAGGUUAAUACCCCGCUGUUCUGACGGUACCCAAAGAAUAAGCACCGGCUAACUUCGUG
rnacentral:rRNA from 1 species